CUCCGGGGGAAUGUAAUUGCGGGUGAAAGAGCGGAGGAGCAUCACGGUGGCCGCCACGGACGCCGCCGUGGAGACUACGUUUUGAAAUUUGGGAGUCAUCAUUGGGCCCUGAUUGGGCUGGAAUUUGGCGGGCUGCGGAAACUUCUUUUGAGUUUCACUGCAUUUACCACCUCAAUUCCUCAAAUACCCUUAACUCAGAGUGUAAGUUGGUGCUCAGGUGACCGCGGUGUUGAGACCUUCGCAACCAUCCGAAUAGAUUUUCAUUCUUCAGCAGAGAUGGAUGAGGUGCCUCUGGAGCAGGCUUUGGAUGUUGUUGCUUAGUCUCCUUAGGAUUCUCUUAGUAUUUCUGUAUUUUGAAUUACUGUUUAGUUGUUGAGGAUUUCCUAUGAUUCCUAUCCUUUUGAAAUACUCUAUUUGCGUUUAAGUUUUAAAUUAUGUCUCAUUUCGGGAUGAUUGUAAGCUUAACUA